rnacentral:misc_RNA from 1 species
GCAAACUUGGUCAUUUAGAGGAAGUAAAAGUCGUAACAAGGUAACCGUAGGUGAACCUGCGGUUGGAUCAUUAAAGUAAAAAACAAUGAAAGUAUUUUAAUUAGUGAAUUUUAUUUAUUAUUUAAAAACUUUUAUUAAACCAAAUGCGAACUUUUUUAAAGUCUUUAAUGGGUUAAAACAAUCAUGAAAUUUUUUGUGAUUGAGUUCAUUUAUUUGAACUACCCAUUAUCUUUUAUUUAAACCAAUUGUAUUCUUAGUCAUUUUUAAAUUAAAUUUUAAAUUAAAAAAACAACUUUUGACAACGGAUCUCUUGGCUCUCGCAUCGAUGAAGAACGCAGC